GGAAGAUCGUCAUCUCCGGUGAGGUGGCUGGACUUCAAAUCCAGUUGGGGCCGCCAGCGGUCCCGGGCAGAUUCAACUCCUGUGAUCUUCCGCCA
rnacentral:tRNA from 1 species